ensembl:lncRNA
AUCUUGCUGGGAGAUCCCUGCCUACCUGAGGCCUUCCAAGGGGGUGUUGUCAGCUGCCUGCAUUGCGUUCGUCACUGUCAUGGCUGGCAGUGUAACAGAUAAGUGGAUGGAUUCAAGGCCACCCAGGGAAUGGAGCCUGACAGGACCUCAUUCAUCACUUCCAUUUCGGAGGUCUCUGUGGAAGAGCUGGCAUCAAAGAACCUCACAGAUGAUGCCUUGCCAGGACUGGCACUCUCAGGGACAAGUCAUCCCCCAUUCCUGGGGAGUGGAAAGAUUCUUCAGUGCAGGGAAGAGUGUGCUCCUGACCGGACUUCCAAGAGUAUCUGACCCGUUUCCCAGAGGAAAGCCUUCAGCUCUCUCCUUGCUGCUCCAGUUACUCAGAAUUCAGGCCGUGUCCAGUUAUUGUUGGGAGCUCUCGCAACUGACAAAACCUUUAUCUAAAACUCCAUAUGGCACAUCACUGAAGUACCUAGACAUGUGCACUUUUGUCUUUGGUCAUUUCAUACAGAAAACACAAUUAGACUUGGCUGUCAAGCAGAUGAAAUCUGUCAUAUUCCUCCUGUAGGAGCUGAACGUGGUCCAAUAAAUAUAUAUAAAAAAAAAAAUUGCUCAUAAAAUUGCAAGUGGAGCCUGCAAUUUCAAUGCACGUGGGCUAAGAUUCUGUGGAAUCUGGCAUGCACUGAAUUCUGGCUGAGCAGCUUGUUCUGUGAUCAGUACCGCUUCCCUGCUCUGCCACAUAAAAAACCAUUGUAAUAAAGCAGCAGAUAGCUUUGUCACACCUUCCCUAAAAGGGUAGUUUCCUACAGAAAAUGGGGCCUCGUAUCUUUCCAAGGAAGGACCUUAAAAUCACGAUUUGUUCAAAUGGCCUUACUAGAAUCACCAUAAUGAUCUGCUUUUUUUGUGUGUGUUCCUUGUUGUAUCUUCAUAGCUCUUAAUAUGCCCUGCUUAAUUCAGGCACAUCAAAGAAGAGGAAAAAAUUACAACUCAGUCAGAAGUUUCUUCAUGUCUUGAUUUUCUGCUCCUGAAAUAACCCAGAACACUCCAUAUUUCACAGACCUGUUUGUUAUUUGCAGUGGCUGAAGUCUUCUGGCUGAUGUUGGAUUGGCUUGUUACCCUCAGGCAGCAGUCUCGGGUAGCUACGUGCUGGGAGCUGUGUGUUGGGUUACCGGGGUUUGGGUGGUGUGGGGUUGUGCCAGUUCCUUGACUGCCUGGCUGUUAGAGCCUGUCUUGCGAGGAUGGAUAGUUACAGGUACCUUCUACUGACAGCUGCAGGGGGAAAAACACACCUUGUUUGCAGAAUAAUUAUCACCAGUGGUAUAACAGACAGUAUAUCAUUCUUUUCUUUCAGAUUAUUUCUGACAAAAUGCCUGUACGUGUGUAUGUGACAAUUUUAUUUUCAAAAGGGCGCAGCCUUUUAUCAUUGCAUUUCCCAGGGCAGCAGCUUCUGCAUUAGAAUGUCUGCCAAGGGGGAUUGUUGUAUUGCCUGUAUUUUUCUUGACACAACAUUGUAAUUCAUACUGUAAACCUAACAAGGAGGUGGAAUUAACUGAUCUUCACUUGUGUUACAGCUAUGUGUUAUCCAACUUGAUUAUUGCCUGAGUGGACAAAAUCCAUUUUGUAAAGUCGUCCCUUACAACAAUGUAUGUCAACAUAGCAUUAAAUGCUCUUUUCUUGUCCUGUACUGUACAAAUACUGUAUGAUGGUUAGC